rnacentral:rRNA from 1 species
GACGAACGCUGGCGGCGUGCUUAACACAUGCAAGUCGAACGGAAAGGCCCUGCUUUUGUGGGGUGCUCGAGUGGCGAACGGGUGAGUAACACGUGAGUAACCUGCCCUUGACUUUGGGAUAACUUCAGGAAACUGGGGCUAAUACCGGAUAGGAGCUCCUGCUGCAUGGUGGGGGUUGGAAAGUUUCGACGGUUGGGGAUGGACUCGCGGCUUAUCAGCUUGUUGGUGGGGUAGUGGCUUACCAAGGCUUUGACGGGUAGCCGGCCUGAGAGGGUGACCGGCCACAUUGGGACUGAGAUACGGCCCAGACUCCUACGGGAGGCAGCAGUGGGGAAUAUUGCACAAUGGGCGGAAGCCUGAUGCAGCAACGCCGCGUGCGGGAUGACGGCCUUCGGGUUGUAAACCGCUUUCGCCUGUGACGAAGCGUGAGUGACGGUAAUGGGUAAAGAAGCACCGGCUAACUACGUGCCAGCAGCCGCGGUGAUACGUAGGGUGCGAGCGUUGUCCGGAUUUAUUGGGCGUAAAGGGCUCGUGGGUGGUUGAUCGCGUCGGAAGUGUAAUCUUGGGGCUUAACCCUGAGCGUGCUUUCGAUACGGGUUGACUUGAGGAAGGUAGGGGAGAAUGGAAUUCCUGGUGGAGCGGUGGAAUGCGCAGAUAUCAGGAGGAACACCAGUGGCGAAGGCGGUUCUCUGGGCCUUUCCUGACGCUGAGGAGCGAAAGCGUGGGGAGCGAACAGGCUUAGAUACCCUGGUAGUCCACGCUGUAAACGGUGGGUACUAGGUGUGGGGUCCAUUCCACGGGUUCCGUGCCGUAGCUAACGCUUUAAGUACCCCGCCUGGGGAGUACGGCCGCAAGGCUAAAACUCAAAGGAAUUGACGGGGCCCCGCACAAGCGGCGGAGCAUGCGGAUUAAUUCGAUGCAACGCGUAGAACCUUACCUGGGUUUGACAUGGAUCGGGAGUGCUCAGAGAUGGGUGUGCCUCUUUUGGGGUCGGUUCACAGGUGGUGCAUGGCUGUCGUCAGCUCGUGUCGUGAGAUGUUGGGUUAAGUCCCGCAACGAGCGCAACCCUUGUUCACUGUUGCCAGCACGUUAUGGUGGGGACUCAGUGGAGACCGCCGGGGUCAACUCGGAGGAAGGUGGGGAUGACGUCAAGUCAUCAUGCCCCUUAUGUCCAGGGCUUCACGCAUGCUACAAUGGCUGGUACAGAGAGUGGCGAGCCUGUGAGGGUGAGCGAAUCUCGGAAAGCCGGUCUCAGUUCGGAUUGGGGUCUGCAACUCGACCUCAUGAAGUCGGAGUCGAUAGUAAUCGCAGAUCAGCAACGCUGCGGUGAAUACGUUCCCGGG